CGCUACUUUAUGAAAAAAUCGCCCCACUCUUGUUUACCGACUCGCAUCACUUUUGAAAACAGUGUAAAAAUCAAACUGAACAAUCACUGACAACUCACUUAUUAACGAAAAGGGUUUAAACCCCACUGAAUGAAGGUCUGCCAACUCGCCCCAUUUAUAAAAAUAUCUUGCUUCCUUUAAGUAUGUUAAAUUACUGAUAGU
rnacentral:lncRNA from 1 species